GAUGAACGCUGGCGGCGUGCCUAAUACAUGCAAGUCGAACGAACAGACGAGGAGCUUGCUUCUCUGACGUUAGCGGCGGACGUGUGAGUAACACGUGUAUAACCUACCUAUAAGACUGGGAUAACUUCGGGAAACCGGAGCUAAUACCGGAUAAUAUAUUGAACCGCAUGGUUCAAUAGUGAAAGACGGUUUUGCGGUCACUUAUAGAUGGAUCCGCGCCGCAUUAGCUAGUUGGUAAGGUAACGGCUUACCAAGGCAACGAUGCGUAGCCGACCUGAGAGGGUGAUCGGCCACACUGGAACUGAGACACGGUCCAGACUCCUACGGGAGGCAGCAGUAGGGAAUCUUCCGCAAUGGGCGAAAGCCUGACGGAGCAACGCCGCGUGAGUGAUGAAGGUCUUCGGAUCGUAAAACUCUGUUAUUAGGGAAGAACAGCUGUGUAAGUAACUAUGCACGUCUUGACGGUACCUAAUCAGAAAGCCCCGGCUAACUACGUG
rnacentral:rRNA from 1 species